rnacentral:tRNA from 1 species
AACAAGGUAAUUUAAGUAUAGAAUAAAAAUUUUGCGUAUUUUAAGUGAGUAUUCAUAAUUACUCCUUUGUUU